rnacentral:lncRNA from 1 species
UUAAAGAAGAAUAAUUCCCCCUUUGUAAUAUCCAAAAUUUCAUUUGUUUGUAAAAAAAAAAUAAUAAUAAUAAUAAAUAAAUCAGCUUAAAUUCUGGUCGACUUAAUUAGGGUUGAAGAAUUCAACUUUGAUAAACGAUAACCUUGGAUUUAGUCCAUGCCAUCGCCCUGCGAAUGUGGACUGUAGGAGGCGUGUGGAUUCCACAUACUCGAAAGUCGAAACCUUUCAUUUCAAGCUUGUAGACUUUUUUCCUUUUUCUUUAUAUUGAAUUAUCAUUUUUGUCAGUUUAUGCAUAAAUAAUUGAUUGAGACACACGGACCGUUGCAGGAGAGAAGAAAAGUUGCUAGAAAUUAGCUGACACAAGGCCAGUUUGCACUGAACUGUUACAUACAGAGUAUGUAACGUAGCUUUGUCCACACCGACAGUACACAAGUAGAGUCAAAUAAUUAAUUACGUGACGUGACGGAUGACAUUUUGAAAAUGAUAUGUUUUUGCUUUUUUUUUUUUUUGAGAAUGGUAUGCUGCUAAUUUUUUUCGUAUUUGUUUUCAAAAAUGAAAAUUGAUGUUUUUUUGUGAUUUCAAAUCUCGCCUCUGAUAAAGUAUUUUAAAAAUUGUAAUCUAAAUAAAUAAAUACCAAACUGGCUUUUGAUUCCCGGACCUUUUAUUUUAAGUUAAGAGAAUUACUAAUUGAACUGAUUUGAACGCACAAUCUAAAGAAUUUUUCAAUAAAGAAAUAUGUUUAAUAUAAUAUUUGAAGAAAGAAAAUGUUACGCAACAAGUACAAAAUCGUAAAAGCAACAUUAAUUUGUGCUGCUUAAGCUUUCAACUUUUCUUCAAGAAAGUAAAAAGUAAAAAGUAAAAACACCAUUUCUGUCGCUUUCCAUAAAUCCUUCAUCAACUCACCGAAUUUUAUUCUGGCCUUAUUCUAUCUCUCCUUUUUAAUUUGAGUAAUGAUACAGUUAUAAACUCUUGUACAAACUUAUUUUAUACAAAUUGAUGUGGCAUGAUAAGAUUGGUUGAAUUAAAUAUCACUUGGCCCACAUGAUUUGUUUUUAUUAAUUUAUAUUUUCAUUCAACCAAUGAAUUAAUGCCACGUCAGUUUAUAUAAAAUAAGUUUAUACAAAAAUUUGUGGCUGUAUCAUUACUCUUUUUAUUUUCCUAUUUAAAUGGAAAAUGGUGUUUAGUUUGGUGACGAGGACAAUAUCUAAUAUCUGCCAAAAAUAGAAAAAUUAUCCCAAAACUACUUUGAAAGAACUUUGGGAUAAUUAAUUAUAUGUAAUUGAUCAAUUUUCACAUCUUAAAUUUUAAAACUCAUAAAAAGUCAAACUCAUAUAUAAGUGAGUUUAGACUAUCAUUUUAUGUGAUAAGAACUAAAAGAAAAUGUUCAACUUACACAUGACAAUGAGUGAUGGGGAUAAGAGCAUAUUUCACGGCUUAUCUGUAGCUAAUAAAAUUAUAGCGUUUUUCAUGCUCUUGUACAUGGAGACUCAUUAAUAUUUUGAAUUCACUUGUAUGAACAAAUCUGAAUUAUCUUUACCUUUCCAUAAUGAAUACUCCUAAUUAAAACAAGAGCGAAAAAGAAAAGAACAUAAAAAUUGUAUUUUCUUACUAAAACUUCAAAAAUUUCUUGGAAAUAGUUAAAAUGAUCAAAUACAUUUGAGUAGAGCUGGCAAAACGGGUCAUCGGGUCGUGUUCGUGUCGUGUCAGCUUCGUGUCGUGUCAAAUUUAGGUCGACCCAAACCCGACCCAUUUAAUAAUCGUGUCAAAAUAUUGAGACCCAAACCCGACACGGAAAAAUAAUCGGGUUACCCAAUAACCCGUUUAAUAUCUAUAUAUUGAACAAAAGUUAUAUCAAAUAUUUACACACUAUCAUACAUACGUGUGUGCAUAAAUACAUAAAUACAUACAUACAUACAUAAUUUAUCGAUAUUAUAAAAUAUACAUAUCUACCAAUAUAUUACACAUGUACACUAUUGAGGUUUUAAUUUUAUAUAUAUAUAUAUAUAUAAUAUUAUAUAUCAAUAUUAUAAAAUAUACAUGUCUAUCAAUUUUUACACAUUUACACUAUUGAAACUCUAAAUGUAUGUAAAAUUUUAUAAAUAAAACAUUGUGUUUAUAUUCACCCUUUUAAAGAAUAAAAAAAAGAAAAUCAUCUCUAAUAUUUGAGUUUUAAUUAUAAGAAUAUGUAAAUUAUUUUAAAAUAGAAAAUAUAAUCGGGUCAUUGAUCGGGUAAAUGGGUCAAGAAUUUUAACCCAAACCCGACACGGAAAAAAAUCGUGUUGACCCGGACCCGACCCAUUUAAUAAUCGUGUUAAAUUUGACGACCCAUACCCAUUUAUUUAUGUCGUGUUCGUGUCGGGUAAUCGGGUCGUGUCAAAUUUUGCCAGCUCUACAUUUGAGGCAUCAAACAACAAACUUCGACCAUAAUCGGAUUGAUUUUGCAAUUAAACACAACGGAUUUUGUUUCUAUAUAUCACCGAAAGUUCAAAGACUUAACAUAUUAUAUGAGUAUUGUAACUCAAUUAGUUAUUCCCCCACAAAAUACAUGUCCUACGUACAUCAAGAUUUUAUUUCCCUUGGUCCUGUCCUUGAAUUUUGUACUGAGCUUAAAAAUGGUUUUUAAUUUUUCCUUUUGUUUCGAAACUCUCACCUCCUGCUCUUAUUAUUAUUAUUAUUAUUAUUAUUAUUAUUAUUAUUAUUAUUAUUAUUAUUCAGCCUUCUGGUACGUAACUAAGACCAAAAAUGUCUGUGACUCUGUGGUAUCAUUAUUUGCAGUUUAAUUAUAUUUAAAAUGAGACGAUUGAAUGACGCGUGUUCAUGAAGUGUAUAUAAUAUAAUAUGAAUAUGAUUACGACAUUACCUGAAAUUUAAGGAACUGAUAAGAACAUAAUCUGUUUAAAUAAUAUUGUAUGGAAGAUUUCCGAUUAUAAUUUAAAAUAUAUGUUUCUUUCAAUCUUUCUCUAUAAUUCAUUGUUCAUAUGACCCUACGUCAAGAAAAUAAAAUACAGAAUAUCUAAUAUCUCUAUCUAUAGGCAAACAAUUUCAAGAUUUUCUGGUUAACUUGUUAUACAAAGCGUUGAGAUGUGAGUAAAUUAGGGUAAAAAUUUAUUUAGUCAUUGUAUUUUAAGAUUAGUAUUCAUUUAGUCCCUAUAUUUUAAAAAUGUCUUGAAACAUCCCUGCCGUUACUUUUUAUUUCUUUUGGCUUACUUUUACAAUAUUACCCUUUUAUAAUAAUUUUUUUAUUUGGACAUUAAUAAAAAAUAAUUAAAUUAUCAAUUUAACCCUAAAAAUUAUAUUAAUUUUUAAUUAUCAAAAAUUGUAUGCAAACUACCAAGUGUGCAAAUGGUGCUUGCAAAAAAAUUAAUAUAAUUUUUUUAUAUAAUUUUUUAGAUUACAAUUAUUGUGCUAAUAUUCCUAAAUGAUCUUAAAACUAAAAAUUUGUCGAAUGACAAGAUCUUAGUUAGAUGUUUAUUUGUCAAUAAAUUAGUUAACCUGUUUUGUAAUCUGAUGACUAAGCUGUAUAUCUUUUGCUCACUCAAAUACAGGCAAAUCUUCAAUGCUUGGAAACUCUUAUUAAUAAAGAAAUGCAAAUAGCUCUUCUCAAAUUAAAUAAAGACCAAUUACCCGACAAUGCUUACUAUUUUCUUAAAGUGACUUGAUUGUGCUAAUAAAGUUAUGUGGGGAGAAAGAUAUCUAUAUGCCUAUCUGGAUGCAUGCGCCUGGUUGGAUAAGAAAAUGAUAGAAAUUAAAUGCCAAAGAAGUAGAUGAUGCAAAUUAAGUGGAUUUAUUGUUGAUAAUUGUAUGAGUUGACUAGCCCAUUUUACACGUGGAAAGUGGCUUCGAUUGGUGCAUGCAUGAGAUUUGUUUGAUUUUCCUGAUUUUAGAUGAUGAUUUCAAUCAUUCAGUUUGAAUUUAAAAUUUCAAUAAGUUAGAAAUAACGAUGCGGCACGGUAUAUGCGUGGAAUAUAUCUCCCUUUGGCCCUUUACUUUUUCAUGAUUUCAAUUAAUCAAUCUUGUAAUUUAUUUAUAUCUUUAUGUGAAGCAAGUGUACAAGGUACAUAUAUUUUAAGAAUUUUAAAAAGGUAAGUGACAAACAUAUUUUUAAAAUUUAAUUUUGAUAAUAAAUUUCAUCCUUAAUGCAAUUCUACCUAAGUAGUUUUGUAUGAUUCACUUUUAAAUUCCAACAAGAACAUCUAAUUACCUACUUCAAGUGAAAAGUGCGUUGAGUGAAUUUCAACAUAAAUAAGGUUGGUUUGAAUAAUUUUUAAAAAUUCAUAAGCUAAUUGCAUAAUUAGCCGAAACCUAAAAGACUAAAUUUAAAUUAUGUAAUUCUCGCUUUGUACAAUAUAUAAAACCUAAGUACUAACUCUUGGAGGGAAUUAACAUGCUUCGAAUAAAAUCAUUUUGAUAUCUCUUUUAAUUCACUGUGCAAAAGCUUGGAUAGACUUUGUUACUGUUUAUCGAAUUUGAGUGAUAAUAGUAACUACGUACCUAAUGAUUAUUUCAUUUAACAUGGCAAUGAGCUGUUCCAAGAGAUUUAAUGCCCAUUCAGUAUUGCUGGAUCACCUUUUGUGAUGAUCAAUAUCCCUCUUUACUACUUUAAAAGCCAUCAAUGAUCAAGAUGUUGAAAUAUGGGCGAGGAAAGAGAGGAUUUGGAACAAACUAUUAUCCAUUAAUCUCAACGGAAACAUGAUAUUAUAUGAACCACACUUGGACUUAGAAAGAAUGAUUUUGUUGUUGUUGUUGGUAAAAUCAGGCUCUCCAAGUGAACAACUGCUGUUGUAUUAUCCUGAUAAGUGGUACCCAAGAAUUGAGAGAUCUUGGACUAAUAAGUGUUUUUCUUUUUCGAUUUAUAAAUUUAAAGAGAGUCUAAUUUCUGUCAAGGGAGAAGAUCCAUGUGUUAAGAAUUAAGUGUUGAUUCAUCAUCGCUGAGCUGUCAUAGUAUCGUUGCUGAAUAACCAUGUUGGAAGGUCGUUAUGCAUACUAUUGAGAGUUGUUAGUUUCCUUCCAAAAGUUUUUUAUGUAUGGUUGGAUGUGAGCACACGAGUUUGUUGCUUUCAGAAGAUUCUACACACAACUAUAUAAACAAUAUUGUAAUCUCAAAUUACAAUAUGUAGAAUGAAUAUUUUUUUAUUUCUAAUUUCUCUCAAUUAAUAAUUUUUCUCUUUAUUUUCUAUGUAAACAAACAGAAUUCUCAAAAAAUAUUUCACUUUAACUUGGUAUCGGAGAUCAAUCUAAUGGCCUUAACAUGUUCCAAUCAACAACCUAAUGGCACUACCAUAACCUCUUUCACCUUUACAAAUCCAAUCAAGCUUGAUUUCAAGAGCUACACAACUUGGAAACAACAAAUACUCUCUUCAAUUCGUGGUAAUGGUCUCGAAGGCUACAUCAAUGGAUCAAGGCUAUGUCCUGAUCAAUUUCUUCCACCAAGAUAUGGAUAUGAAGGUUCUUAUUCAAAUAUUGAAGGUCAAGAAAAUCCAGAAUAUACAACAUGAAAAUGUCAAGAUCAACUCUUACUUAGCUGGAUCAUAUCAUCCAUGAGUGUUGAUAUCUUCAGUGUUGUGGUCAUUUCUAAGAUUUCCUUUAAGUUGUGGAAAAUCUUGAAAAACAAUUUGGAUCUAAAUCCAUAGCCAAAAAAAGUUCAUCUAAAAAUGCUUCUAAGCAAUCUGCAAAAAAGAUCCUUAACAAUGUCAGAAUAUUUCACAAAGCUUAAAACAAUUACUGAUGGCCCAGCCUGCCCUGUGAGUUAUUAGGAUCUGAUUACUCAUCUCAUUUUUUAUUUAGAUCGGUCAUGUUAUCUUGUGGUUGUUUACAUUGAGGCAAACAUGUUAACUAUGGAUCUUAGUGAAGCAUAUACUAUGCUUCUCACACAUGAGGCUAGACUGGACAAUAGUAAGCUUCAUGACAACAAAGAAAUUAAGAAUAACUAUGCAGUCAAUAUAGCUCAAGUUGGAAAUUUUUCAAAGAAAGGUAAUAAUAAUGCUCAAAAUAAUUGGAACAAGGCUGAGGGAAAUAAUUAGAACACUAAUUCUGGUGGAAGAGCUGGCUUUGAUGGUAAUGGAAGAUGAGGUUACCAGGGACCAAAUCGAGGAAAAUGAAAUUAGAAUAAUAACUUCAGAGGAUUUACUGGUGGUUUUAACAAUGGAUUUCCUAGUGACUUCAAUAACAACUAUGGCAGAGGUGGAUUUAACUCAAGAGGUUCUGAAAAGGUUUUGUUUAAGGAGGUGUUGCUUGUCAAAUUUGCUUCAGGUUUAACCACACAGCAGCUGAGUGUAGAGACAUGUUCAACAAGAAUUUUGUCCCAAAUUUGCCUGCUCCAAGUCAUUUUUUCAAUCAAAAUCAAGGAUCAAGGGCAGCUUUUAUGACUACAUCUGAAUGAGUUACUAAUCAAGGAUGGUAUCUAAAUAGUGGAACAACUCACCACUUAACUAAUACAGUUCAGAAUUUGAAUGAUGGUAAGAUCUUUUUUAGCUCAAAUUUACUAAUUAUUGGUAAUGGUCAAAGUCUUCAAAUUACUCACAUAGGUUAUACAUGUCUCUAUACUUUUUUUGGUACUUGUUUACAUCUGCAUAAUGUCAUGUAUGCCUCCAAAAUUACCAAGAACCUCAUUAAUGUUUCCAAACUUCUCGUGAUAAUGAUAUUACCAUUGAAUUUUUCUCUGAUAUUUAUUUCCUAAAAGACAAUGUGAAUGACACUCUGUUGGCUCAGGGGAUUGCUAAAGAUGGUCUGUAUAAGCUACUGUCAUAAGAGAAACUUAUAUCUUCUUCUUCUAUGCAAGUGUUUUAACCUAGUUCUAUAAUGUCAAUUUUCUCUUUCAAUGAUGAUGUCACUUCUGUUCAAGCCUUUAAUAGUGACUUAUAUUUCUGUUUAGAGUCCAAAUCUCCCAUAAGUUUUCACACUUAGGUUAUGUGUUAGCAAAUAUAUUGCAUAAUAGGCUUGGUCAUCCAAGCAAACAUGUUAUAUAAACUAUUUUAAAGAAUAAUUAUUUGCUGUCUGCUCAUGUUGAUAAAUCAAUCCUUUAGUUUUGUGAUGUUUGUCAGCUUGAAAAAUUACAUCAAUUACAUUUUUUAGUUACUAAAAUCAAAACAAAAUGUCCUUUAGAAUUGAUUCACACAGACUUACAUGGACUAGCUAUGUUCUGUCCAUGGAUGGUUAUAGAUAUUAUAUCUCUUUUGUUGAUGAUUUCACUAGGUAUUGUUGGAUUUUUCCUUUAGUUUUGAAGUCUGAUGCUCUUACUACAUUCAAACACUUUAAAUGCUUGAUUGGAAAAAAAUUCAAUCUUUCUAUUAAAGCUUUACAGUUUGAUAUGAGAGGUGAAUUUAAAAUUCUUUCAGUCUUUUCUUCAACCAAAAGACAUCUAAGCUAGAUUUAGUUGUCCUCACACACAUCACCAAAAUGGUGUUGUUGAGAAAAAGUAUAGACACAUAGUUGAAACUAGUUUAACCCUUCUUACCCAAGCUAAAAUGCAUGUUUCUUUCUGAUGGGAGGCUUUUCAAACAAUCUCUUAUCUCAUUAAUAGAAUGCCAACCUCUAUUCUCAAUAAUUUAUCUCCUUAUCGAAAACUUCAUUACCAAUCACCAAAUUAUCAGCUUCAUAGAAUGUUUGACUGUGCUUGUUACCAUUUUCUUAAACUUUACAAUCAAUACAAGCUUGAAUUUUACUCCAAAAAAUGUUUGUUCUUACGUUACAGCCCUCUUUAUAGGGGCUAUAAAUGUCUAGUCAAAUCUGGCAAAGUUUAUAUUUGCAGCUCAUGUCAUUUUUAAUGAGUUUGAUUUUCCAUAUUUUGAAUUAUUUUCAUCCUCUUCAUCUUCUUCUGAGUCCUUCCUAAUUUACUCUCCAUCAAUUUUCAUUUUCAAUGAUAGUGGCUUCAAUCAUUCGUCAGUUAUACCUCCUACCUCAGUAGUGUUACCAUCACCAUUCUUUCCACAUUUACCUCAACAAGUUCUAUAUUUUCCUUCUUAAACCUCUAAUUCCUCAUCCCUUCAUUAUGUAUCCAAUUCACCUGUAUCACAACCACCAUCUCAACUAGUAAUCCCAACUUAUCUAAUAAUUACUUGAGCCAAAUCUAGCAUUUUCAAGCCAAAAACCUAUUUUACAGCUACACAGACCAUGAGCCAGUGAGUGUUAAAAUUGCUUUAGCUGACAAGAAGUGGCAUAUGGCUAUGCAAGAUAAGUAUAAUGCUUUGUAGAGAAAUGGUACUUGGACAUUGGUUUCAGUUGAGAUAGCCACCAAACUUGUUGGAAAUAAGUGGAUUUUUCAAGUUAAAUACAACCCAGAUGACGGCAUUUCAAAGUAUAAAGCUCGACUAGUUGUAAAAGGGCUUCAUCAAACUUUUGGAGUAGAUUUCUUUGAGACAUUCAGUCCUGUUGUAAAACCUUGCAUUGUUCCAGUUGUUCUCAACUUAGCAGUCAUGAAUUAUUGGUCUAUAGCAAUUAGAUGUCGACAAUGCUUUUCUCAAUGGCUUACAUAUUGAAUAUGUGCUCAUGCUUCAGCUAGAAGGCUUUAUUAAUCCUCAAUUUCUCAAUCAUAUCUGCAAGUUGAAUAAAGCCAUUUAUGACCUUAAACAAGCCCCUAGGGCUUGGUAUGACAUAUUAAAAGGAUCUCUAAUUUAGUAAGGAUUCAGGUCUUCCAAGUCAGAUACUUCAUUAUUUUUCAAGCAUAUUAGAUGUGAUAUUUUAAUCAUUCUUGUCUAUGUGGAUGAUAUUCUAAUAACAGGUUCAAGCAAUGCUCAGAUAACAUGGGUUAUUAAUUAGCUUGGAUAAGAAUUUGCUCUCAAAGACUUGGGGGAUUUCAAUUAUUUUCUUGGAUUGGAAGUGACUCCAUCUAUUGAUGGCUUACAUAUAUCUCAAACUAAGUUUGUUAGUGAUAUCUUAAGGAAAGCUCACAUACUUGACAGUAAAGGUUGUAACACACCUAUAUGUGUUGCUAAUAAAUUGCAAAAAAAUAAAGGUUGUUUGUUUAAAAAUCAUUCACUUUACAAAAGCAUUGAUGGUUCUCUACAAUAUUUAACACUGAUCAGUCCAGAUAUUGCAUUUACAGUCAAUAAGUUAAGCCAAUUUUUGGUUGCUCCAACUACUUUAUACUGGCAGGCCUAUAAAAGAGUGUUGAGAUAUAUGCGAAGUAUAGCACAUUUUGGACUUCAGUUCUUCAACUCAGGUUCUCUAACCUUGACAGCCUAUUUUGAUGCAGAUUGGGGGUUUGAUCUAAAUGACAGAAGAUCUAUUGGAGGAUAUUGUGUUGAUCUUGGAACUAAUCUUGUGUCAUGAUCAUCUAAGAAACAAAAUACUGUCUCUAGAUCAACUGUUGAAUCCGAAUAUAGAGCUUUAACAUUAGCCACAUCUAAAAUUUUGUGGACCAAUUAUCUAUUGAAGGAACUCAAAGUAUCACCCAACAAGCCUCAUGUUCUUCAUUGUGGUAAUAAAAGUGCAGAAGCUUUAGACAACAAUCUUAAAUAUCAUUCUAGAACUAAACAUAUAGAAUUGGAUCUUCAUUUUGUUAGGGAACACGUUGCCAAUAAGGAAUUGGUCAUUGAACAUGUAUCCAGAUCUGAUCAAUUAACUGAUGUGCUUACAAAGCCUCUUAGUUUUGAUCAUUUUGCUUAUAUGAGAACUAAGCUCAAUGUCUGUUCAAGACCUUGAGCUUACAGGGGAAUGUUAAGAAUUAAGUGCCGAUUCAUCAUAGCUGAGCUGUCAUUAUAUCAUUGCUAAAUAUCCAUGCACAUUGGAAGGUCAUUUUGCAUAUUGUUAAGAGCUAUAGUUUCCCUCUAGAAGUUUGUUAUGUAUAAGUGGAUGUGAGCACAUGAGUUUGUUGCUUUCAGAAGAUUUUACACACAACCAUAUGAACAACAUUGUAAUCUCAAAUUACAUUAUGUAGAAUGAAUAUUUUUUGGUUUCUAAUUUCUCUCAAUCAAUAAAUUUUCACUCUGUUUUCUAAGUAAACAAACAGAAUUAUUAGAACAUAAUCAAAUAGACAGAUGAGGAUUUUGACAUGAUAUGAGAAAAGUUAUAUCCGCUCUCCAGUGAUUAUAGGGGUGCUUUGCUCUUCAUGAUGUCAAGAUUUCAAAGAAAUGAAUCAAAUAAUAACCAAUUUGGCAUCGUUAAUCCUUGACUUGUAUCAAAUUUUUGUGAAUUUCAAUUUAUCAAUAGUUGUUUUGUAAGUUGAUCGAACACAUCCGUUGUUUAAAUUUGUAUUAACGAACAUGAAGGCGAUAGUUACGCUUAAUUAACACUUUUUCUUUGCCUUUCUUUUUAAUGUUACCCAAUGUGCAGCUGAAAACUCUUUUCAAGUCGGUUUGCCAAACGGAAUAAGCUACCCGAAAGCCGAAUACAAGAAGGCAAUAAAAGUUUAUAAUAUUAACCUGAACUAAUGUGACGAUUUUCUGUAGAAGUCGCAUCAAGUCAAACAUACUUUAACAUAUAUUAAUAACAUAUUAACUUGAUGUCACAGAUUCAGGGUUCCUUACAUUGCUAAAUUAAAAAUGGUUAUAAGGAUCUUUUAGAAGUAGUAAUUACAUGCGUGGAUGCCCAAACGAAGUAAGAAAUUUCAAUCCAUGGCAGCAAUACAAAAAUGAUGGGAAGAGAUGAAAAUGUGAACCAUCAACUUAUCCGACCCAAUUAAGGGACUGUCUCCUCUGACGAAGUAAAAAAUAAUCCGAUUUUGGUGCCAUUAAGAAUAUUGUAUAACUAGUUUUAGGAGUGGCAAUUUGGGUUAGGAUUUGUUUACUCUAUUUGAUUCGAUGCAAAUUAAAUGAGUUUGGAUUUGAAAAAAUUGUUUCGUUUAAUAAAUAAGUGAAUUCUAUUCAAUUCAUUAAUUAAAUGGAUCUAAUAUGGGUUUUAGAACAUUGAUUCAUUUAUUUGUUAAGGAUUCGUUUAGUAAAUGAGUUAUAAACGAAUCGAAUAUAAUCCAUUCGUUUAAAUUAAUUUAAUUAAAUUAUUUAUUUAUACUUAGUAUGAAAAAACCUUAAAGUUUGAAGGCUAAUAUAAUAAUUAUAAAUGAUAAUAAGUUUGUAUUUUGUAGGAUGUUAAAUUUAUGCUCUUUUUAUAUUUUAUUUUGUUUAAUUUUUGUUUAUUAAUUAUAUUUUUGUAAAUAAAUUCAUAUUCAAUUUAUUCCUUAUCGGAUAAACAAAUUGUAAAGGAAUCCAGAUUCGAUUUGAUUCGUUUAUUAAUUCUACUAAAUGAAUUAAACGAAUCGAAUCGAAUCGAAUCGAAUAUUUGUUUAAUAAAUGAAUUGAAUCCGAAUCCUAAGAUUUCUAUUUGUUUAAUGAAUGAAUCGAAUUCGAAUCAGCAAAAUUUUGACCCAAUUCGUUUACAAUUUGAUUUGAAUAUGACUCGUUUAUUCGUUUUGCCAACUCUAACUAGUUUAUUGUGUUUUUGAUUAAAUAUUACAUAAACUACACACUAUCAACGUUAUAUUGUACUUAUAAUUUUUUUAUUAUUUUACUUUAAGUGUACAACGUGUAAGUAAGCUAAUUUUCCCAGAUCUCUAUAUUGGGUUUUGAGUGUAAAAUGAUAAAAUGAUUUGACAUACAAAUACGGUUGGAAAAGUAUCAUAAUAAAUUACUAUUUUAAAGCAUAAUUUUGAGUGGACCUACUUUGUAUAAGUGAGAGGUAAUAAUAUGUACUUUUAUACUUAAAAUGAUGCUUGGGUGAAUAACAAUGCACAAAUUACACCAUUAAUUGCAUUGACUAAGAGUUGGAGUUACAAAAAAUUGUAGUAGCUAGUUAAAUUUAAAAUUAAUUACGAAAUUAAUUCCAGAAUAUAUCACUUGUAAUUGCCAAGUAAUUCAGAAUUUAUAAUAGGCAAUUAAAUUUAUAUUUUAAUAUGAGAUUAAAUCUCGAAUUUAAUAUGUGGUUAAUGAAGCCGCAUUUACAUUUUGAAUUUAAUUUAAGAAUGAAAUAAAAGGUUUAACGACAACAAUUAUACUUUUAAUUAGCUACUGUACCUAAUAAGAAAUUAAAUACAUCAGUUACAAAAUUUUAGCAGUCAAAUUUGUGGAUAAAAAUGCCUCUCAUACAAUUCUAUGAAUUGACAUUCUUCUUCACUUCAAGAAAAUGGCUAGGAAUAAUUUAAGAGAAAUAAGGAUAGAAGAAUAAGAAGACAAACUUCAAUACCUCCUUUGUCAAUGUCAUAUAUCAUCAAUGUCAUUUAUCCAAUUUCCAUAAAGUUUAGAGACAAUGGAACUUUUUUGUACAAUAACCUCUUAGUGCGCUAGAAUUAUUCAUUACCAUUGUCUCUUGGAAAAUAGGCACUGUUCAAAACCUAAAGCACUUAAUCUCUAGCGCCGAAUUUAUUUUAAUGAAGCUAUAAUAUUAUGCAGGUAGGGGAUGACNNNNNNNNNNNNNNNNNNNNNNNNNNNNNNNNNNNNNNNNNNNNNNNNNNNNNNNNNNNNNNNNNNNNNNNNNNNNNNNNNNNNNNNNNNNNNNNNNNNNUGGACAGUCUGAGGCUGGGCCGGACUGGAGCUUCCGUUAAAUUUUUAAAUAAAUUUUUAAUAAAGUUAAAAGUUAAAAAUAAAAUAUUUAAAAUAAUGAUUUUCUAAUAUAUAAUAGAUAAAUAGUCAAAUACAUAAAAUAACACAAUAUAAUAAACCACAAAUAAUAUUUAUAAAUUAUAUUCUUUUAAUUUAUAAAUUAUAAAGCUUGAGAAUUUUCCAUAAACCAUUAAUUAAGUUCAUUCACAUCUGACUUUAAAUUUUUUUACCCAUGUCUAUGGUAUCACAAAGCAAGCAGGGCCUAAAGCUUAUGACCCUAAGCUGGCCGACCCUAACUUUUUUACCCCACCCUACAUUGAGGUCUUGAUUUGCAUUCUAUUUUUAUAUCAUAUUUGAUUUGUUAUCUCAUUAUUGUAAUCACUAUUUUAACUGCUAUAUCACUGUUUUAACUGUAAUCAUUGUUAUUUGUAAAGUCCCAAUUUAUGAUUUGUAAUUUCAGAAUGCAUUCCUCCUAUUCCAUUGUAUUUCCCUUAUGAAUACUUGGAAAAAGAUAGAAGCUAUUGGACCAAAAAAUUAACACCAAAUCCGAAUUUUGUUACUAAGAUAUAAAAAUUCUCAGUUUCCUAUAGUUACAAAACCACCAUAUAUAAGUAGGAAUUUCAAGUCCCUAAAUGUCAAAAUUUGGUAAAAAUGCGAGGAUCAUCAUUACCAAGUACGCUGUGAUUUUAUUUUCAUUAGUUUGCCAAAAGCUUUGAAACAAUUUUUUUUUUUUGCCAAAAUAUGAAUCCGACGGCAUGAAACAAAGCACCCUUAUCAUAUUUUCUCAUAAGAGAAUCUUGGCCUGUUUCUUCGAUACAUCAUCUUCUUCCUUAAUUGAUAUUAGACUGAAUAGACUCUCUUCAAAUUUAUGAACUGACAAGUGAAAACUUCUUAGUCAAAUUCUCCAAGAUCUCUCAUUUUUCCCGAGGAUUAGGAUUGUAUAAGAGCAGUCGUGGAAUUGAAGAGUCGGGUUCUGAAAAAAUCCAAUUGGCAAAUAUUUGAUAUUAACGAAUAAAAGUUCGCCCCAAAUCCUCUCUUUCAUCACCUAUAUUUCAACAUUAUCAUUAAUGGUAUUAAAAAAUAAUAAAGAUAGAUUGUCAUCGUAUAUGUCAAGUGACACAGAAAGUAAAAAUAGGAGGAUAUUGAUAAAACAACAAUAUAAAAUAAACAAUGUUGAAUAAUAUAAAUGACAUUUUGAACAAAAAUCAUAAUUUUUUUUUUCAAUCUUCGGGCUUUGCGGUUUUGAUCUUGGUAUGGACUUAAGUCCACCCAAAUUGCUAAUCUAAGGAUGCAAUUCGUUAUAAGCUGAUCAUUUACAUCCUUCCGAGCACCGUGAGACAUUACAUAUCCUAAUUUCGUACAAAAAACAUUGGAUUAUGUGUUUCUAUUUAUAAGUGUGCAGGUUUUGUGUUUUCUGUGAUUUCUUGAAUAAGUAUGUAAUAAGACUGCAAUAAAAGAUUUUCCCAAUUUUACUUCUCAAUAUGUUCAUUAAUUGGAUCAAAUGAAAUCAUGCAUGAACUCUUAUGAUAACAUUUUUUGACCUACAUUUCUCAUUAUUGGUUUUGGCAGUCUCUUCUUUUAGCGAACACUGGCAACACAAAAAGAAAAUUAAAAAAGGGGGAAACUGUUAAAUUUGUAAUGGCCUAUUUGGUUAAUUUUAUGUAUUUACGUAACUUAUAUUACAGUAGUUUCUAAAUUAACAAGCCUGUCUGGUUAUAUUCAAGAAAAUUGAUGUACUUAGAUAAUUAAUACUAUAUGUAAAGUUACUAAUAUAACCUUUUCCUAGUGCGGUUCUGGUACGCGUUUCCUUUUCUUACUACAGUUUUAAUUUCAUUUAGGAAACUAGUUUCCUAUUCAAUUAGGGUAAUUGUUAUUACAUAAAAAUCUAAUGGGAAUAGGAAACUAUUUCCUAAUUCAAUACGGCAAGUUAUUGUCACAUUAUAAAUACCCGUGCAGAAAAAAAAAUUGGUUCCAUAUAUCGCACUGAAAAAAAAAUGGAGCAAUACGAAAAGAUCAGAAACUUAUGAUAUUUUUAAGGAAGAUGAAUAAUCAUCCCAACAUUGUCAAGUUGAGGAAUCUUGUCAAAGAACACGAAGACGUAUUCAUUGUGUUCGAUUACAUGGAAUCUGAUCUUCUAAAACUUAUGAAAGAAAGUGCGGGUCAAAAUUUCUCUGAAGAUGAAGCCAGAAACUUGUGUUUUCAAGUGUUUCAAGGUCUCCAUUACAUGCACCGACAGGGUUAUUUUCACCGUGACCUAAAGCCUUCCAACUUGCUUGUUUCGAAAGGUGUGAUCAAGAUAGGGGAUCUUGGAAUGGUGAAGGAAAUUGAUUCCAGUCUGCCGUGCACUGAUUACGUUACAACUCGCUGGUAUCGAGCUCCUGAAGUGUUGCUUUUAUCCGAGAUAUGUGGACCUGAAGUUGAUAGGUGGGCGAUGGGUGCUAUUAUGUUCGAGAUGUUGAGUUUCAGGAUUCUUUUUCCGGGAAAAAAUUCAGCUGAUCAAAUUUACAAAAUCUACGGCAGAUGGGUGGCGUGAAUCUAAGUGAGUUGUUACCAUCAGCUAGUCGAGAAUCCAUCAGCUUGAUUUCAUGGCUUUGUUCCUGGAAUCCACGCAUGAGGCCUACGGCUGCGGAAGCUUUGGAACAUCCUUUCUUCCGGAGCUGCCAUUUUGUUCCUCGAUCGGUGCCUCUUCUUUGCAAUAAUUUUGAAGCUGUUGCGUUUCCUACUGCCACAGUCACAAUGCAAGGACGUUCUUUGACAUAUUCUCAGGUACCGAAUGAUGGGCAAUUAUGUUCGUGCGUCAAAUGUGAGAUGCAAAGGACUAACCAUGAUCACAUGAUCAUCAACUCUGCCAAACCGGCAACCUCCGUGAUUUGUAAAACUGGUUACGCGACUAGAACUGAGAUGUUGGCUUCUCGCAUGCAACCGUUGCAGCAGCUGAUGAUGUCGAGGCCUCCCGGAUUUUGAAGAAAACGUUAAGGCUGGUUAUUGUAUUUGUACUUAGAAACCUAACUACGUACGUACUGAUUGUACUGUCGAAGAUUAUUCAAUGCAUUGAUAUUCAUCUCCUCAGCUUCCCUAGUGUCUUUUAUGUUGAAUUCAAUGAGUGUAAGUCCAUGACCAUUUUUUUUUUUAAAGUUAUGGUCAAAUGUGAGAUGCAAAGGACUAAUAAUGAUGAUCAUAUGAUCAUCAACUCUUCCAAUCCAGCAACCUCCAUGAUGCAUAAAACUGUUUAUACAGCUACAACUAAGAUGUUGGCUUCUCGGAUGCAGCCAUUGCAGCAGCCGAUGUCGAGGCCUCCUGGAUUUUGAAGAAAAUGUGAUGGCCGAUUACUGUAUUUGUUAUCAAAAAACCUAGCUACGUACGUAGUAUCUCUGUUGUGGAUAUUUUAAUAGCUUCAUUCAUUCAAGUAAGCAAAAAUUACUCAAUACUGUCAUUUUUUCGAAUAAUUUGAUACCACUGGCCCUAGAAAGGACAUUAACGGGUAUUCAAUGCACUGUCAUCUUCUCAAAUUAGCUAUUGUCCUAUACAUUGAUUUCACCGAGUGUAAGUCCAUUUUUUUUUUAAAUUGAAAAAAUAUUAUUUAGAAGAUAAAAGAGUGCAUGAGAGUGAUAAAAGUUACGACAAAUGAAAAUUAGGAACACCAAAAUUCUAGAAGAAGAGGCUUCUGAAUUGAAUGGGGAGGUAGAUUCCACAGUGGAAAAAUGAUAACUAAGACUAUCGUUAGUUAAAGUAUCCCCCACUUUGUUACCUUCACGAUAAAUAUGUGAUAAAUUAUUAUAUUAAGCGAAGCAAGUAAAGGCAAUUAAACCAACUAGUGUGGAGUUUCCAUGGAAGAGAGUAGCCAAAAUUCUGAAUACAUUGAGUCAUAGACAUGGCGUCACAUUAAUCCGAAGUUUAUGCCAACCCCUUAACCAUGCUUGUCCAAUAGCAAGAAUAACUACCAUAAAUUCAGCAUAAAAAGAGGAUUCAUGACCAACGAACGUAGAACUGCCAAGGAAGGUUCCAUGAUGAUCUCUAGAAAUUCCCUCACAAGCAGAUAACCUAGGAAUAUUAUUCUACUGUUGACCUUUAUCAAAGUUGGAGGGGACACCAUAUCACUGUAGCUAUUUUCGAAGCUUUUCCAAAGCAUGGAUCAUUACCCAACCGGGCAAAAAUUGCCAAAUCACGAAAGUGUGCAAGAGUACUCCCUAGGCAAGAUUGACAAAGAGUAAAUAUUAAAUUUUUACAGUAAGCUAUGGCAUUAUGAAAAGGGAGAGUUGCAUCUUGAAAUCAAAUAUAUUCAUUUUUCGUUUUUAAAUUAUAGCUUAAUGGCAACCCAGAUAGCUCCACGUGAGUGGAUUCAAACCCCAAAUCUAUUAUUUCAAAUCAAAAGAUUAAAAUUCACCAAUUGAUCAACUAUAUAUCUGGCGUCUAACUAUGACCAACCUCAAUUAACGGACGUCCAUCAACUAGAUUAAUUCUCAAAAACCUGCUACUUUCUAGUGUGUGGAAGAAACAAAGUUCUCAAAGAAGAUAACUUCACAAUACAUACAACUCCUUGCUAACUCAAAUUUAAGCCAACGCCAUGUUUGAUGAAAAUUUAUGGUUGCGGGUUGUGAUUCCAUUUAUGCCAUAAGAAAAUCAAAAGGGUAUGUUUUCGAAUUAUGAUUGCAAAAUUCCAAUCAAAAGGGAAAAGUUUUGGCAUGGACCAAAAGUUUUUUUCCAUUCAUUUCUUAUCACAUUUAUAUUUCAACUAACUAUAAUAAUAUAUAUACACUUAAUAAAUAAUAAAUAAAUAAAAUGUAAUAUUUAAAUAUAUUUUGGAUAGACCACUCGGUCUUUGGCCGAGUGAUGGAUUACUUACUCUCACAUUUGUAAACAUUUGUGAGAGCACCAGUUUGAGAUCUCAAGGGCUCUCCCUUAAUUAAGUAUGAUUGAUUGGAGUCAAUUGUAACUUUCUCUUUUGUAAAUUUUAAGUGAAGUGGACGACCCUCUAAUAUCCCUCGAAUAAUUGUGAAGGUAGACAAUUUGGUGGAGCGGACAACCCUAAGAUAUAUGUGAAGAUAGACAAUCUGAAAAAGUAUUUUAUAAAAUUUAAUGUACGUAAAGUUAUAGUUUCACUAUGUAAUUAUAAUAUCUGAUUGUAUUAUUAGUAUUAAAAAAAAAAACUCUUCUGGAUAGAUAUUAAACCUUUCAAAACCUUUACAUACCAAAUAAAGAGUAAACUGAUUUGAGCUCUUGUCCGGUAGCUCCAAAUAUUUUUCAUGCUUGAAACAAUGUUGAGCUGGAAUAUGUUUUUGAUUACCAAAGCUUAAUCACUUUGAACAUUACAACUGAAGAGCAUAGAGGAUUUGUCAUAAUUGAAUAAUUUUCCAGAGGUUGUAGUGUAGCAAUUAAAAAUUCUUUUCAAAUUUUGACAAUCUGUAGCUGAUGCCCUAGUGAAUACAAGACUGUCAUCCACAAAAAGAAUGUGAGAGAUUUUAGUGCCAUUGCCAAAUGACAGCCCAUGAAUGAGCUUCUACUGUUCAGCCCACACCAGCAAAGAAGAAAAAGCCUCUGCACAUAUGAUCAAAAGGUAUGGAGAUAGCAGACAUAUUUUCCUUAGCCCACGCUGAGGUUUGAUUAGUCCGCUAAUCAUACCAUUUAUAAUUACAGAAAAAGAAGCAAAGCUUAUACACCUCAUGACCAAUCGUACAUAAUUUUGAAAAAAACCUAGCUCCAACAUGGUUUGCUCAAGAAAAUUCCAUUCUAAUCUAUCGUAGGCUUUACUAAUAUUGAGCUUUAUAGCCACAAGGCUAUUUCUUUUCCCCUUACCGUGUCUUAUUUUAUAGGAGCAUUUGUGACCUACAGUGAUAUUGACGGUUAUCAGCCUAUUAGGGAUGAAAGCACUUUGCAUUGGGGAUAUGAUUUUGGACAGGGUUUGUUUAAGCCUUUUUACUAUUGUCUUAGCAACAAUUUUAUAGAUAACGUUACAAAGACUAAUAGGCCUAAAAUCAGUGACUUUUAUAGGUUUUCCAAUCUUAGGAAUUAGAGCAAUAUAUGCAUGAUUGAGAGGGCCUAUAGUACCUUGCUUGUUGAGGAUGUGGAGGCAAGUAGUGAUAACUCCGGAUUUAAUCGUUUGCCAAUGUUUUUGGUAAAAGACUGCUAGCAAUCCAUCAGGCCUUGGAGUCUUCGUUGGACACAUCUGUGAUAAGGCUUCAACAAUUUGCUCUGUUCAGAAAGGCUUGUCCAAUUGCUCGUUCAUGUCAUUUGAGACCCUCGGUGUUAUCCCUGAAAGAGCUGCUGCUAUUUGGUUCUAGCUUGGUCUGGAUGUGGUGAACAAAUUUGUGAAAUAAGUGCAAAACUCAUGCUCCACUUCUUCAACAUUUUUAAUCGAUCUUCCGGUUUCAUCUUCAAUUCCCCAUAUUACAUUCUUUUUCUUCUGCGAUGAGGCUUUAUAAUGGAAAAACUUGGUGUUCUUAUCCCCCUUUUUAUGCCGAUCCGCUCUCGAUCGCUAUUUUCAGAAAAUCUCUUCACCAACCACUAUGUUAUGAAUAUGUCUCUCCACCCAUUUAAUUUCAUCCCCAAAUUCAUACUGCACAUUUUUUCCUUUAAGCUCUGCAACUGUUUCUUCAACUUCUUCAGUUUCUUUUCUCUCCCCUUAAAUUCUUCCUUGCUACACAGAAUCAAACUAGCCAUGGAAUCUUUAAUCACCUUAUGGGAUAAAUGUAUGGGAUCAUCUAUGUUCCAGCAUCCAUGUUUAUGCCAUUCUUCUUUAAUUAUACUUUUACAGGUGUCAUAUGAGAUCCACAUAUCUUCAUAAUGGAUUUGUGAAGUUCUCUUUAUUUGAUAAUUCAGGCCAUUACUUCUAUUAUAAACCUCCAUCAACAUCGGGCUGUGAUCGAACAUCCAACUCUUGAGAUUAACAGCUACACAGUCAACAAAUCUCUCACUUCAAACCUCAUUGCAUAAAAAUCUGUCUAAUCGUUCUUCCACAAAGUUAGGGCUAAAUCUUCCGUUACCCCAUGUAAACAGAUAUCUCUUGCAGCCUACAUCCUUUAGAUUAUAAUCUCUUAAGGCUUCUCUAAAGUCACUAAUUUGGUUUGGAUUUUUAUCAUUGCCAACACUCUUCUCAUGUGGGUGUAAAAUUUCAUUAAAAUCACCGAAACAUAACCAAGGUAUGGAAGAUAAAUCUGAUAGGCGUCUCAUUAAUGUCCAUGUGUGCUUUUUUUGUUGCAUUUCUGGAUGUCCAUACACUUAUGUACAUUGCAUUUGCUUUCCAUUGCCCAUUUGUUGUUCAGCAUCAAUGUGGUGCUUACUAAAUGACUUAAUUUGCACACAAAUUUCAAAGUUCCAAAGCAUUGCAAGACCUUCUCCCCUUCCAUUACUAUCCAUAGCAAAACAACUAUCAAAAUUUAGCUUACUACGAACCGUAUCCAUUUGCAUAGAUUGCAACUUUGUCUCACUCAAAAACAUAAGUUGAGGUCUAUGAAUUUGGAGAAUUUGUUUCAUUGCUAGGAACAUCCGGGAAUCCCCCAAACCCCGAAUGUUCCAGCUGAGGAUUUUCAUGGCUUCCAGCGUUCUUGAUCGCCAACCUCUACCGAUAUCUCUUAUAUGUUUGAGUCUGCAAUUUCCAUUCCCUCCAUUGCCAACGGUUCCUAGCUCAAAUUGAGUCUUGCCACUGGUGAAUUCAAUUGAUAUUACUUUGUUUCUAAUUUGGGUAGGCUAGUCACUUUCAUCUUCUUUUGUUUUGGACUUUGCCCAGUUAGCUCACAACUUGGCCUUUUUAACACCCCUAACCUAUAUUUGUUUCCACCAUUGGAGUUUGUGUUUCGGGCUUGUAAUUUUCAUUUCCUUCUAUUGGGUCUCAUUGGAGCCCUUCGAGACCAAUUUCCUCUCUUUGCUUCUUCCGCGCCUUCUUAGUACAAUAUCUCCUCAUAAACUUUAAUUGGUGUUGCCUCCAAACUUUCUCGCUUGUUUUUAACAUUUUUAUUUCUCGCAUGAAUUCCCACAUUUCCAAGUCCUCUUGUGUUUCCCUCUAUCUCAUGCUUCUUUUUGCCGCUUGUUUGCUGUGCCAUUGUUAUUUCCAACAUGCCAUUCAUUAAACGCUUUUCACCUACUCGUUCCACCUCAUCACCUAUAGCUAAUUCAUUAGUUUGACCCAUCUCUUCCUGAUUUGGUUUUGUCAACCAGGUUACUUUGACUCUGUUGAGGUUGUUAUGAGCAGCCAUAGUGUUCUGAGUUUGCCGAGUUACUCACUAAUUUGCCACUAUCCCUAUUCCAUCUCUCCUUGAUACGGUGCUUCUUUGAGCGUCCUCCUACUGUAACUGCCUUCAUCCACACCCCAUAUGGAAGUUCCUCUUUUCGUUGACCCUAAUACUUAGCACAUUCCUUGAACUAGUGGCUAAUAACUCCACAAAUGAAAUAAAAGUCAGGCAAUCAUUCAUAAUCUAUAGACAUUGGAAUAUCUGCAUCACCCUCUUGUAAGAUCUUUUCUAAUGGCUGAGUCAUUUUGAUCGAAAUUCUAACUCUUACAAAUUCCCCAAUAUAUUCACCAUAUUCGUUUGUUUCAACCUCCUUUACUAUUCUAAUCUUCCCACCCAAUUCUUGGAGAAAAUAUCUUUCCAAACAGGCAACUCGGACAUUUCGAAUCUACACCCAGAAUGUUGUAUGAGUGAAAGACUGUUUUGUGAUCUCCCCCAAUCUUCCCACCCAAUUCUUGGAGAAAAUAUCUUUCCAAACAGGCAACUGGGACAUUUCGAAUCUACACCCAGAAUGUUGUAUGAGUGAAAGACUGUUUUGUGAUCUCCCCCAAUUCCUUUCGGUUCUGUAAGGACAAUUAAGGCCUUAUCAAAGUGCCAAAGGCCUCCUGCCAUCACCCUUCUUUUAUCAGCUUCAUCUGCAAACUUGAACAUAAAGAUAUGAGCACCCAAGCUCUCUAUCUUAACUUCUUUAAUUGUCCUCCAAACUUGUUGUAAUGCCAUCUUCAGCCCUUUCUUAUGAACUCCUCUUGUAAGAAGUAUCUUGCCCAUCAAAUAGCCAGCCAAUACUUUCUCUCUUUUUUCUUUCAUUCUCACUUCCAAAGUUACUUUAUUUUUUUUUUCUCUUUGAUAGUUAUCGCUUUACACUUACGAAUUAAUUCCUUUGUAUCCAUAGCAUUUAAGACCUUUCAGAAAUAAUUGUUGCAUUCACUGUUCUAAAAGUAACCUUGUGUUUAAAUCCCUUACCUGUAACACCCUAGGCAAAUCUCACAUCGGCAAAACACAUGAUAAAUACUGGGUUUAUAAAGGGUGAUCUACAUCUUAAUUGACAAGAUGCGUUUUGGGGUGUAUAGGCGCCGUAGAAACAAACUUGUACAGAGCUUCUUAAGGCCCAACGCGGACAAUAUCUUGUCAGGUCUAGGUUGGGUCAUGACAUUAUGGUAUCAGAAUGGCUCUGCGUAUCAUCUUAAGCAAUGUUGGGGCAAACCACAGCGAGGACACUGAGUCCCCAAGAGGGGUGUGUGUAACAUCCUAGGCAAAUCCCACAUCGGCAAAGCAUGGGAGAGAUGUUGGGAUUAUAAAGGGUGAUAUACACCUUAACUGGCAAAACACAUUUUGGAGUAUAUGGGCGCCCCAGAAAUAAAACCGUGCAAGCCUUAUUAAGACCCAAAGUGGACAAUAUCUUGUAAGGUCUGGGUUGGGUCAUGACAUUAUGGUAUCAGAGUGGCUCUGUGUCCUCUUGAGCGAUAGUGGAGCAAAACUCAGCGAGGACGCUGAGUCCCCAAAGGGGUGUAUGUAACAUCCUAGGAAAAUCCUACAUCGGUAAAGUAUAGGAGAGAUGUUGGGUUUAUAAGGGUUAUCCACACCUUAAUUUGUAAGACGCGUUUUGGAGUGUAUGGGCACCCCUGAAACAAACCCGUGCGGGCCUUGUUAAGGUUCAAAACGGAUAAUGUAUUGUCAGGUCUGGGUUGGGUCAUGACAUUAUGGUAUCAGAGCGGCUCCACAUGUCCUCUUGAGCGAUGGUGAGGCAAACUUCAAUGAGGACGUUGAGUCCUCAAGAGGGGGUGUAUGUAACACCCUAGGCAAAUCCCACAUCGGCAAAGCACAUGAAAGAUGUUGAGUUUAUAAGGGGUGAUCUACACCUUAAUUGGCAAGACACGUUUUGGGCCUUGUAUAGGCGCCCCAGAAACAAACAAGCACAUCUAUUUUUUUCAAAAUUAAUAGUUGAGUCUUAAAUGUGAACUUAUUUAGUGGCUGCAAAUUAUGAACCCAUUUUUUAUUUCGGUGAAAACGAAAGUGUAAAAUGCAAAACAGAAAACGUAAAAUGAUAUGAUGCAAUAAUUACAUAAUUAAUGUUUUCCCUAAGAUAUAGUAAAAGCAUAUGUUUCACCAAAAAAUUUUGAAGCCUUACCGGUCCUCCCAGCCGUUUUAUUUAUUUAUUUAUUUAUUUUUAGUAUUUAUAUAAAUGAAACUAAAACUCUCGUCACCCACAUGAGUGGUUGAAUCUAAGCCACUUAAAGUUAAUAAUUCAUGGCUUGAGUGAGUUUGCUCCCCAGUUCGAGUCGCAGGGAAGUCGCCUUUGUUAGGAGAACCUGUGCCUCUCGGUUCGAGCGGGGACUUCUAGUCUAGGUUUUGGUACGGGCUUAAAGGUACCUCUCACAGUUGGGGUCCUCUCCAGGAUACCUCGUGGUCAAAACAAAAAAAAAAGUUAAUAAUUCAUGAAAUGGUGCCUUUGUUUUGUGGCGGUCCCGGGGCCUUUGCCUCUGAUUAAUAUUAUUCUUUUAGCGUGUGGAUUCCACAAAUCGAAACCCUUCGGAAUUUUAAUUAUUAUUUACUGAAAUAUCAUUUUCCCUAUGGCUUCUACAUAUUAUGCCUAUAGCUAGUGAUUGUUACGUAAUUCAUAUAAAAAAUCAAUUUUAGAAUUGUAACUAUUUUAAUUAACUGAUGCAAGGUAAAUUCCUUACAGAAAAAAUUCAUCUAUGUUCUCUUAGAUUAUAAAAGAUGAAAGUAGCGUAAUUAAGUUUAAGAGAAAACUGAUUUUAUUAAAUUUCAAGGACGAAACGAAAAAAAUAAUAAGAGAGAUAAAAAGAAUUUCUAAGAGAACGAAAGUAUCAUUCGACAAAUAAAUUUAAAUUCAUAAUUUUUUCUGCCCGAUCUAAUAUUAAUUCUUAGCGGCAAGCCUACGGCACAAGCCACAUAUAUGCAAUUAUGCAUAAUUUUUAUUGGUUAAAACGUGACAUUGAUGAUGUUGAAAGAACAAAUAAUAAACAAUAAUACAAUAAAACCUCCAAAUAGAAAUACUUUAUAUAUGAAUAAUUUCUUUAUAGUAAUUAAAAUUUUGGUCCCAAGUUGGGACCAGUUAUAAUUAAAAAUAAAUUUUACAUUGUAAUAAGUUAUAUUUUUUAUAAGUCCCGACUUAAUAAACUUACUUUCACAUAUUAAUAAUAUAUCAAAAAUAUAUAUCAUGUUACAUUUAAUAAUUAUUAAUUUAUUAAUACAUGACAUAAUUUACCCCUAUAUCACUUGCAUUAGAGAUAAUUAAGUAAAGACAAUAAUUUUUGUACUAUACUUCUAUUGAGUUAUAACCUCUUUAUUAAAAUAAAUUUCUCCAGUCUCAACAAUAUGAUUAUACAGAGAAUUUACUGUAUCAGGCUUUUUGAUGCGUAUAGAAAGCAGGACGAGAACACAAAAACACAAGUUUAAUUAAUUUAUUUGAAAAUACAUAGCAUGUUUCAGACAAGAAAAUUAGAUUAAACUCAAGUUUGAUAGUUAAUUUAUUUGAAAACACAUAACAUGUUUCAGGCCAAACGAUAAGAUUAAAUUCGAGUUUGUUAAGCACAAAAACUCUCUCGCAUAUGCCGCAAGCUAGCUUAUUAGAAAGAGCUGACCAAAUCACCCUCCGAUGAUGAUGAUCUUGUUGCAAUAUUAUUGUUUCCAUUGACCCUCCUGCAGUUCAAUCUAAUCUCCCCUUGAUUUCCUGUCAGUGGUUUCAAAUUGCCCAUUCUUAUCAUUGAGAUCACAAAGUUUUUAAAGAAAGCAGUCUGGUUCCUCCCAAAGUCCUCGACAAUGGCAGCGGUAUCGGCACCAGGAGUCGAAAACAACUCUUGAUCACUCUGCAGAAGGCCUUUGCGGAGUCUAAGAUUGGAGAAGUAUUUGUUGUCGAAAGCAUCAGGUGUUUUGACAUCAAAAUUAGCAAGAACGGCGCCGUUUCCACCCUGUGGGCAUAGUUCCCUCAGUUGCUUUAAGAGGGUUCUGUCCAGUGUUGGGUCUGGCUUGCCAGUUUUGUUGAAAUCGUAUAAUCUGUCACUGAAAAAUUUGCACUGAGCCCUUCCAAACGUGUGAGCUCCUGAAAAACAUGCAUGACCAAACCUUUGUUAUUUUUACUGAAUUCACAUACGAGGAACAAUAAUGAUAAUUUUAUUGUUAGGGAUAUUAUUUAAAUUUUGAGUUAAGUAAAUAUAAAUUUAAGGCACCAACACUCAUUUCUUAAAUUAAUUUUUGAGUAUGAGUUACUAUUAGCAGGCAGUUUUGACUCCUAAAAGUUUACUCUCGUAACUUUACUCAAGUAACUAAAAGGAUGUAGAAGCAAUUAAUAAUUACCGGAGAGUGCAACAAGAUCAAACUUGUCAUUGAGGCCAACAUUUCUAAAACUAGAUUUGAGCUCAUCAAGAGAAUUAGAUGGUCCUGGAAGAUUCUGAUUUGCAAGAGCUCUGUUUGCCGUUCUGCUGUCUCUUCUUCCCAAUGGAACUGCCCAUGACGGACCCCCUGACUGUAACCAAAAGCCAUUCACUCAAAAUCAGCAAUAAUCUUAAGAGAUGUGUGUUUGGGGCGGACUAUUUAAUUUGCUAGCCGUUGAAUCAAACUUUGUCGUAUAACAAAAGAAGAAAACUUUUAAUUUUAAAACUAAGGCCUUGCUACGAUACACCAGCGCAGUAAAAAGUGUCUCACUGUCGGUAACAAUUUAUCCGUUGAUAAUCACUAUAUUGACAUACUUGUAGCAAUUUUGGUACCAUACAGUGUAGCUGAUGCACCAUAGUCAAUAAGUCACCCCUUUUAAAUAAUGGAGUCCACCACGUCGUCCGAAUCUAAAAAUGAUCGGUCCAACGAUGAAUCCCUUCACUUAAAUCAAUUUCCACAUGGUGGGGCAAUUUUGUCGUUGAAUAGCAGAUGCAAUAACUAGCAAAGGCUAAACAGUGGACUCAGAUCUUGCACAUUGUUCUAUGUGAAUAAUUAUUUAAUUAAUAUAUUCUUCUAAGGAUAAAGUUGAACUUACGGGAUAUUUAAUUAACUGAAAAAAAUAAUAUAAAAACACGUUAAAUUUAUAUGGGUUAUUAUUAAUUAAAAAAAUAGUUAAACACUACAUUAAUACUACAAAGAUUUAUCAUUAUUCUGUUCGCUUAUUCUGAUACCCAUAUUAAUUUACUUCUAAGCGUAAAAUAUUUACUGGGAAGAGGAGUUGGUAAUAGAAAUUCAUUACCAAAGCAACGGAUCGUUCAGCCGCAAUAGUAAGAAUAUCAGCGCAGGAAACAACCCUUCGACAUGCCUUUUCAACGGCAGCUUUCAUGUUAUCAAUAACUUCAAAACCCCUCGCCGAAUUAUUAUUUGGCGCAGCAAAUUUCUCGCUGUCUAUGGUGUUAGUGCUGUCCAGCAAAAUCGAUGCAUCACACCCCUGAAAAAAUAAUAUUAAUUAACAACUUGCUAUGUUAACAGUCCAUUGUAUUAUUACUUUUUCAAGUACAUAGAUUCCUUCUUAUCUUAUGGACAGGAAUUCAAAAAAAUUAUAUAAAUAAUGCAAACUCUUCUUAUUUAAAUUGUCUUAUUAUUACAUAUGUUUUUAAGACUAGGAUUUCCAGUUGAUUUAAAUUUCUCAGUUGGAAGAAUAUAAAACAAGUGUGAUUUUUUUUCAACCAUACACCAUUAAUAUUGGACCCAUGAUCAUUAAAAGAACUCAGCAGGGAUGAGGCCAUGAGGUGGAUUUUAUUUCCUGUUUUGUACCAAAUCUUUGCUAGAUUUAAAUUUCUAGUACAUGAAAACCCCAUAUUAAAAUUUAUUUAUAAACAGAGAAUUACAUGGUCCUCGGUACAUCGAAUUAGAGAGGAAAAAUUUGUUGUAAAGAGAAAGAAAAAAGAUAAAUAAAAAUGGUUUUGGAAGUUGUUGAAAUUAAAAUGAUAUAUUCAAACUCUUAAUGAAAACUCUAUAUUUUGUUUAAUGCCAUAAAAAUUAUAAAGAUACUGUUCAUUGAUAUACUUGAAACUAUGUUAUAUCAGUAAGUACAUAGACAGAGAGCUUGAUAAAGUAAAGAAGAUGAAAAAUGAGAGAGCAGAGAUUGCUUACAUCAACAAAACAGUCAUGGAAAUGAAGCCUGAUGAGGCUGGCACCGAUCCGGAUAUCGGACGAGAACGCUUUCUUAAGCACAUCCUCGAUAAUGUUCAAUACAUUAGGGCAUGUGGAAGAAUAAAAAGAUGGAGAAAGUUGAGCUUGAGAUGGUGAUCCCUCAAGCACAAAAGCAACAACAAGAGCUGCUGCAAGAAGAUAACGAAGUGAAGCCAUUUUGGCUAAGAGUUACUACUUCUCUAUGAAGAGAAUGAUUAGUCUUAGGACUUGGAAAACAAAGAGAAAUGCCUCUUUAUUUAUAACCAAACAAACCAGAUUAGGAUUAGAACUUUGCAGCAACCUCGAAGUUCCUCGUUUCACUGUUUGAAUAGGUUAGUUACGUUAUUAAUUCGGUAAUUCCCUUAAUUAGGUUUAUGUGAUUUUUUUUUAAACUAAUGUGGCCCACGUGAGCAUCUAAGUAAACUAUAUGGAUAAAGAUGUCUUUUUUUCUUUAUUAUUAAAAUAAAAUUACUAGUUAAUUUUCUUUUUUAAAUUUCAUUCAAUUUUUCUUUCGUGUUUAAAAGCUUAAGUCUUCAAUUAGAUUCUUCGAUUUUAAUUUUUUUUUCAAGUACAAUAUACUAAUUACGGAGCAUUUGAAAUUACAUGUCUUAUUUUCAUAAUGAUCUUGAAAUUUAGAAAUAACCUUCGUUUUUGUGGAGAGAACAUAAGAAAGGGGAAUAUUUGUUUGUAAAAUUUUAUUAAAAAAAAGUAUAAAUGAGCGUAUUACAAAUGCAUGUAUAUCAAACUUAUUUGAGAAUAAAAGCUUAUUAAAAUGAAAUCCAAAAUUUUGAGUAAUUAUUCAUGAAAUGAGGGACUAAGUUGAUAAUUCUUGAAAUGGUGUUAGGUAGGGGCGGCGACGCCUCGAGCCGCCUUUGUUUAAUGCCAGCCUACCUGUUUCUUUUAUCGUAUGUGUGAAUGUGGAGCAAGUGGCGUGUGGAUUCCACAUAUUCGAAAUCCUUCAUUUCAACCUUUUGAAAUUCAUAUAAAAAACAAAACCUUUUGAAAUUUUUUAUUUGUCUACCGAAAUAUCAAAUAUAAUUUUGUCAGCUCAUACAUAGUUAGAUGCGAGAUUGAGCUACUCAAACUCUUUAAGUUAUAAUUAUUUUUAUCAUAUAAGUGUGGGUUCAAUCAUCUUAAUUUUUAAGCUCUAACAAUAAAUGUUUGUUAAAUAUUUUAAUAUUUAUCCUAAAAGAUAUAAUUGUUUGACUUUGACUUCAAAUGGGGUUAGAUUAAAACCCCAAGUGGAUGCUAAAUAAUUAAGUGGUGGCAGGAUUAUAUUUGAAAUGGGUAUAAGAGUAAUUUAGAUUUCUAAUUCAAGAAGGGACCGAGAGGAAAUGAAAAAGAUAGAACACGCUUAAGUUCUAGAAGGAAAAAUGAUUUUAUUAAUGAUCAUGAAAAAGAUAACCAUUGUUACUACUUUUAGUUUGGGAAAAAAAGAUCAAAAUAUUUGCCGUGGUUUAGUGAUUAGACACGAAGAUUCCAUUACUUUUAGAAACUAUAUAGGCUCUUUUUUGUGCACAUAGACCGCACAAUUGUUUUUUAAAUUUGUCCAAAAACUAAGUUUUCUUAUCCUAAAAAGAGUUUGUGUAACCAUUUUUAAAAAUUACAAAAAAUUCUUCCCCACUAUUUUGUCAAACUACAAAUGUCAGACAAAAAGGAAAAAAGCAAUAUGUAAAAAGAAGGUGUUUUUCCGGUUAAUGUUUUAAAGCUAGAGGAUAAAGUGGGUUAUUAAAAACUUGUAAGUGACUCAAAUGAAAAUACAUAUCGAUGACUUCGGGAGAAAAAAAAGAAAAGAAAAAAGAAACACAUACAAUAUGACAAGGAUUUCUGAUACAUAGAAAGCAGGACGUGAAUACACAACCACAACUUUAGUUUAUUGAAAAUACAAAGCAUGUUUCAGGCAAAACAUAGGAGUAAAUUCAUGAGUUUGUUACCCACAAACUCUUUCUCUCGCGUUAGCUGCAAACUAGCUUAUUCAGAAAGAGCUGACCAAAUCACCCUCCGAUGAUGAUGAUCUUGUUGCGAUAUUGCUGUUUCCGUUGACCCUCCUGCAGUUCAAUCUAAUCUCCCCUUGAUUUCCUGUCAGUGGUUUCAAAUUGCCCAUUCUUAUCAUUGAAGUCACAAAGUUUUCAAAGAAAGCAGUCUGGUUCCUGCCAAAGUUAUUGACAAUGGCAGCGGUAUCGGCCCCGGGAGUCGAAAACAACUCUUGAUCACUCUGCAGAAGGCCCUUGUGUAUUUGAAGAUUGAAGAAGUAUUUGUUGUCAAACACAUCAGGUGUUGUGACAUCAAGAUUAGUUAGAACGCUGCCGUUUCCACCUUGUGGGCAUAGUUGCCUUAGUUGUUGUAAGAGGGUUGUGUUAAGUGUUGGGUCUGGAUUGCCAGUGCUGUUGAAAUUGAAUAACCUAUCGCUAAAAGUUCGGCACUGAGCCCUUCCAAAUGUGUGAGCUCCUGAAAAAAAUGCAUAGCCAAUCUUUGUUAUUUUUACUCAAAUUCAUACAAAUUAAGGAUAAUAAUGGAGUUUCAUUAUGGUGGUUCUCACUUUUCUUUUUGGGAAGCAAUUCAAAUUUCAUGAUGUGAUUAAGGGGAGUAAAUUUGUCAAACGUUUUAACAUAUUCUUAGUCACCAAUGUCAAACUUUAAAACACAGUUUCUUCCAUCAUUAGGAUAUUCAGUCAAGCCUUCUAGGUGCAGUAGAGUAUGAAUGUGCUUUGUGUCGGUGGUCGUCUUAGUAAGAGUAACAAUGAGAAAAAAAUUGGUAUUUAGUGGAUGAGAUUUCUCAUCCUUAUCAAAAUUUAUUUUUUCUUUUUAAAUAAGAUAUUCAACAUUUAAACUAUCUCUAAGAUUUCAAGACUCAGUAUUGGCAUUAAAAAAUUUUCCACGUCCAGAUUUCUAAUUCUGGCUCCAAUACUGCUUUAUCCCAAAAGACUCCAAGGUCUGUUUGUACUCAAGUCAAAGGGUGUAUAAGCAAAUAUUACCGGAGAGUGCAACAAGAUCAAAAUUAUCGUUGAGGCCAACAUUUCUGAAUCUAUCUUUGAGCCUCUCAAGACUAUUGUUCGGUCCUGGAAGAUUUUCAUUUGCAAGAGUCCUGUUGGCUGUUCUGCUGUCUCUCCUUCCCAAUAGAUUUGUCCAUGAAGGACCCCCUGACUGAUACCAAAACCACGAUCAUUAGUCAAAAGAAUCACUUGAGAGAUGCAUAAUAAGCAAAUUUAACUAAAAUCAGAAAUAGACAUGCAAUUACUCUUUCCGACUUUAUUUGGCUAGUAUUUAUAUGGGUCUUUUUGCACCCAAAAUUAGCAGUUUCCCGACAUUACAAUUUUGAGUGAACGGUUCAACCAGACUGUAUCACAUAAAGAAGAUAUUUUCACGUAAAACUGAUGUGUCCUCCAUGAAUCUCAUCACUUUUUUUUUGGGGGGGUGGGGGGAAGGAGAAGCCUUCCCUUUUCAUACGGUAAAGUUUGUCCAGGCACUAUCACGAAGUCAACAUGGUAAUGUCGGUGGACUGUUGCCGCCUAAAACUAAGCAUGUGGAUUCAUUUAGUUAAGUACUCAGGGACUGAAAAUUCCAACACGAAUGUAAAGUCAGACUUACUCUCUGAUACCAUAGUAAUUUAAUCACUUUUAAGCUAAAAAUAUGUAGUAGAGCAAGAUGAGUUGUUAAUAGAAAUUCAUAUAUACCAGAGCAACAGAUUGUUCAGCUGCAAUAGUAAGAAUAUCAGCACAUGAAACAACGCCUGGACAGGCCCUUUCAACGGCAGCUUUCAUGUCAUCAACAACUUCAAAACCCCUCGCCGAAUUAUUAUUUGGCGCAGCAAAUUUCUCGCUUACUAUGGUAGUAGUAUUGUCCAGCAAAAUCGAUGCAUCACAGCCCUGAAAUAACAUUAAAAACUUGUUAUGAUCAACUGCUCUUGUAUCGUUAAUUUAAUAAUUAGGUAGAUUCUUCUUAUCUUACUAUUAAGAAAAUAAUGAAUAUUUGUGCAUUUUCUUUUUGGAUAAACAUACAUAUAUCCAAAUUGUCUUAUAUAAGUUUGUAAGACCAGGUUUCCCCCAUGAUGUAAGCUUUUCCUGAGCUUAAUUGUGACUGUUAGAAGUUAAGGAUAUAAGUGUACGUAGUUAUUUUCAAUCAUAUAUUACUAAUAAUGGACAUGUUACACAAGAUUUUUUAAAAAACUAUGCAAAACUCAGAUUAAAAGAGGACCUUAAUUCAUAUUUUAAAAUAUUAAUUGAAAAAGAAGAAAAAUCAAAGAGUAGAGAUUGAUUACAUUAACAAAACAGUCAUGGAAAUGAAGCCUGAUGAGGCUGGCACCGAUGCGAAUAUCGGACAAGAAAGCAUUCUUAAGCACCUCCCGAAUUAUGUUGGUUACAUUAGGGCAUGUGGAAUUAUAAAAAGAGGGAGAAAGUUGAGCUUGAGCUGGUGAUGAUCCCUCAAGCACAAAUGCAACUACAAGAGCAGCUGCAAGGAGAAAACGAAGAGAAGCCAUUUUGCAAUGAUGAGAAUGAGAGUUAUUUCUAAGCCUUCUAUAUAUGCGCCUCUUUAUUUAUAGCCAACCAAGCUAAACAGGAGUAGACUUGGGAACGACUAAGAAGUUUCACAUUAUAUUGUAAAAGUCCACAGUUUGAAAACAAAAGCUUAUAUGAUGAGAUAAUUACAUUAUCGAUUUUCUCCCUAAAGUUUGGUGAAAGCAUAUUUUUCUCCACAUAGUUUUGAGGUGUUAACGAUCAUUUAUUAUUUGCUUUUUAGUAUUGUAGAAGUAUGUCAAGUGUAUCUCGGUCGUCCCCCCUUAAAUACUCCAACCACCCCAUGAAUCGGUUAUUAAAUUAAAUUAAAAAUAUUUUACUUCUUCUUUUCAUUUAACUUAAGAGUAAUAGAAGAAAAAAGAUUUCUUUGUUCAUUGGAUAACGAACUCUUUUUAAAAUCAUGGGAUUUCUUUUUGAUUUUUUUUAGUCAUGAAAACUAUCUACAAAAAAACAUUAGAUAUAAUAGCUUCGGCCUUGUCCGCUUAUAGAGAGAGAACGAAAUCGGGAUAAAUACCAAUACCUAUUAGGGGUAGAAGAAUCGAGAUAAAAACAAAUAACUCUCGUGGUCCAGAAUAAAUAAAUAAAAAAAGUGUUUGGGGCAUUAAAUAGCUUGUACCCAUAGAACAUUUGGCGUAACAUAGAUAAUGAAUAAAUGGAGUUAAUAUCAUUCCAAUUGCCAUUACAAAAGUAUAAUUACUAUUUUUGGCAUAAAAAAAAAAUUGGCUGGUAAUUAUUCCAAAAUAUACUAUCAAUUCUGCAACAAAACCACUCAUAAGGCAAAGGUUCUUGUUUAGUGGAUGAGAUUUCUUGUCCCUAUUAGAACUUUUUUUCCUUUUUUCUUAUUAAACAAAAGAAAAGGUAAUAACAACACCAAUAUUAAAAGGAUGAACUUAUAUAAUUCAUCCUACUUCUAUCGCAAUUGGAUCUAACUUUCAAAGUGGGUAAAAUAUUUUUUUUAUCUUACAUGGAACUUAAAAUUCAAAUAAAUCUACAUGUUAAGGAAAAAAAGGAGAAUAAUUAAGUAAAUAAUUUUGACUAAGACAUAUAUUUUUAAAAUAAUUUUUUAAAAAUACAAAGUCUAGCUAGAUAAUUGACUCAAAUCUUAAGGAUCAAAAGAAAAUUUAUCCCAAAAAGAAAAUUGUGAGGAUAUUUCCACUCCGCUUUUUAUGUAACAACACCCUAUCUUUUUAUAUUUUUAUAAUUAUGAUUUUAUAAAUAAAUUAUUCGUAACUCGUGCACUUAUCCUUAAAUCAUAUAUGUUUAACCAAAGAGAAUGAACAGGAAUUUUCUACGAAAGAGUUAGAUUUGUUAGUUUAAAAAUAUACAAUAGUUAUCUUCUUCCUUUCCUUAUAUCUUUCAAGUAAUAAUUCGCUGAAUUGUGAGUGUAUAGUUUUGUGGAUGGAAAAUUAGGAUGAAUAUUCAAUUUCAAUUUUAAAAUUUUGUUUAUAUACUGCUGAGCUGGUUUCGUAACUGAUGAAAAAUUUGUUUUAUUAGGCAAGAAAAGUUUAAGAUUUUACAGUUAAAUUUUAUUUAUUUGUUUGUUUGUUUGUUUAUUAUUACUAGCAUUUUGAUUCAGAAACUACUGUCUGUGCAAUUAGAUGCUGCAAUGUAUGUCAUUUAUAUAUGGACAUGUCCCUCUUUUAAUUAAAAUGAUUCAUGGCAUGGCAAUAUUGGCAGACUCGUUUAUGCAUGUCCAUUUUGAUGCCAUUGAAACUUUAUUGAGCUACAAAGCAAGAAGUGUUUUUUGGCCAAACUUUGUGCAAAAAAAAAAAAAAAACGCAAUUGGCCCCUAUUGUAAUUUUCUGGUGACUAAGGGUGAGAAAUUAAAGAAGAAUAAUUCCCCCUUUGUAAUAUCCAAAAUUUCAUUUGUUUGUAAAAGAAAAUAAUAAUAAUAAAUAAAUCAGCUUAAAUUCUGAUCGACUUAAUUAGGGUUGAAGAAUUCAACUUUGAUAAACGAUAACGUUGGAUUUAGUCCAUGCCAUCGCCAUGCGAAUGUGGACUGUACGAGGCGUGUGGAUUCCACAUACUCGAAAGUCGAAACCUUUCAUUUCAAGCUUGUAGACUUUUAUCCUUUUUCUUUAUAUUGAAUUAUCAUUUUUGUCAGUUUAUACAUAAAUAAUUGAUUGAGACACACGGACCUUGUAACGUAGCAAAUGGGGAGCAUCCGCUCGUUGCAGGAGAGAGGAAAAGUUGCUAGAAAUUAGCUGAUACGAGGCCAGUUUGCACUGAACUGUUACAUAAAGAGUCUGUAACGUAGCUUUGUCCACACCGACAAUACACAAGUAGAGUCAAAUAAUUAAUUACGUGACGUGACGGAUGACGUUUUGAAAAUGAAAUGUUUUUGCUUUUUUUUUUUUUUUGAGAAUGGUAUGCUGUUAAUUUUUUUCGUAGUUGUUUUCACAACUGAAAAUUGAUAUUUAUUUGUGA